UGCCGGCGACCGGCGGACGGGUGCGUAACGCGUAUGUAACCUACCUUUGACAGGGGGGAUAACAUCGAGAAAUUGGUACUAAUACCCCAUAACAUCACCGGAGGCAUCUUCGGUGGUUGAAAACUCAGGUGGUCAGAGAUGGGCAUGCGUUGUAUUAGCUAGUUGGUGAGGUAACGGCUCACCAAGGCGACGAUACAUAGGGGGGACUGAGAGGUCAACCCCCCCACAUUGGUACUGAGACACGGACCCAAACUCCUACGGGAGGCAGCAG
rnacentral:rRNA from 1 species